CAGGAGGAGGAGCAUCUGCUUCUGGCUCACAGCUGACGGCUCGUAAUUGAAACUGCAGAAAGCAAAUCCAGGGAGAAGAGGUGCAUAGAUAUGGAACCUGGUGCUUCAAGAUGCUAUGAAACUUCUUCAAGGGCAUACAACUAAUAAGUGAUAGGGACAAGAUUCUAAUGCAUUUUGCUGCUGGAAGCCCAGGUCCAUCUUCAUCAUUGGCGGCAUCUCUGUUCUUCGACCCCAGUGGCCAGCAUGGUACCAAGCCCACAGGCUGUCCUCCCCCCACCCAAACCUGCUGGAACUAGCUUCACUCAUCUGGAUUUCAGUCCCCUGCCUCCCUCUCCUUCCCUGGGAGCUUCACAGAGCUUCACAGUGCAGAUAGGCUGCAGACCUCAGGACUCCAGCAGACAGGCUGAAAGCUGGAGGAAAGACUGCGGGGCUGCACAGUCUCCUAAGCCUGCCAAGGAUGAACUUCGAUGGCGCAACUCGGACCUGGACAAUCAUUCGCGAACAAAGGAGCCCAGACGCCUGUGCCU